UACGUAGGUCCCGAGCGUUGUCCGGAUUUAUUGGGCGUAAAGCGAGCGCAGGUGGUUUAUUAAGUCUGGUGUAAAAGGCAGUGGCUCAACCAUUGUAUGCAUUGGAAACUGGUAGACUUGAGUGCAGGAGAGGAAAGUGGAAUUCCAUGUGUAGCGGUGAAAUGCGUAGAUAUAUGGAGGAACACCGGUGGCGAAAGCGGCUCUCUGGCCUGUAACUGACACUGAGGCUCGAAAGCGUGGGGAGCAAACAGG
rnacentral:rRNA from 1 species